CGGGAGGCAGGAGGUCUUCACCAGACGGUGCUGCGUCUCAAGGGGAUUAGAGAAAAUGGCCAAUCUGGGCUUCUAAACCGAUGGUCGACACUGCACCUCCUCCACUGGUUCUGCCCUUACGCAGCACCGCAUUAUUUCGUCUCCUCAGUCUUGCUACUGGCCACAAAAACCGUCGAUCUUCGUCUCUCGCUAAUCAGUGCCUUCGGCUAACCGUAACGUCCAUCAUCUGCCACGCGACCUCAAAUUGUCCAAUGCCCCAAUACGGUCUGAUCUCAACGAAGGCGGUGGCAGCAACUUGGAUACCAAUGCAAGGAAGAGCCGAAACCAGAUGAAGCGAGAGGCUCGGCUCGCCGUCCGUCGGAGCAUUGAACUUCCAUCCUUUUUUACUCCUUGAAUCAAACGUACUCUCAGGUGCCCCCGCCAAUAUUCCCUUGCUGCGAAAACAGCCCUGUAUGCAUUGUUUUCUUUCGAAUUACAAAUUCAAUUGAGCUCAAAUUGACGUUGAUAAAUGCCGAGUAGCUUCCCUUGUCGAAGAGGCGUUCGAAGCUCCAAUGCCAGUGAAGGUGCUUCCGUAGUUGUAGACUUGUUUUCUGUGAUAAACUACGACAGGAUGUGCAGCGUGAAUUAUGGAUGGCUUGACUCAGGACAAAAGAUGGUGACCAGAUGAGGCUGCAGGCUUUGUCCGUUUCAAUGGUUAGGGGAGAGGAUGAUCAUGAAGAAGCAGAAGAAAGGAUCUGAUCAUAAAGACAUUAACAUAACAACCAGAUGGUUUGAAGGUCUGUUCGGUAAGGACAUUAUAAUCAACGAUGAAGUUUAUUCAGUUCAGAGUGUUGAAUUUAGAGUAAUGCUACUACACAUACACUCGUGGAGUCAACAAGCACCACGUAAUCUUUUUGAAAAAAAAUAAGGUCUAUUAUUUAAAAAUUAUUAUUUUUUAUGUAGAUUUCAUAUAUAUCUAUUUUUUAAAAAAAUAUUAUGCGGCGCUUACCCAUUUCACGACUGUAAAUAUCAUUUCUCUUGAAUUUAACCGCAAGGUAUGUUGAAAUAUUCCACCUCUGCUAUUCUGAUCACCAAGAUAUAUCUUUUCAGGGAAAAUUUAAUAAUUAGUCCUUGGCUUUGGGUUGUCCUAUUAUAACCGUAGUAAUAUUUAUUUUGCCCUAACGUUAUCGUAAUGAAUUGAAUAACGGCGGGUUUUAGGGCUGGCUGUAUGCAGACUGGACUUGUGCCAUGUUAGAGGCAGGCCCCAAUCUAGGUUUGGGCCGUUAUAUGACAUCUAAAAUUAGGCUCGUGGUCGCAUAGGUUGAUGUUUGGGUCAUACAGCCUAGAAGCCCCAAUUGUAAUCUUAAUUCAAGGAAAAGGGGAAAUUGUUCUCCUAUCUCUGGUUAUAUGAUCAAGUUUUCUAAAGAGUUUUGUUAGUUACAAAUUUAGUGUACAACUCAUGAAACCAUUAUAAUUAUAUAUAAAAAAAUUUAAAAUAUUAAUAUGGAUUAUUAUUGUGGGAUCUAUUUUAAUAGUGUGUUGGGUGUGUCCAAAGAUAGGAUUGUAAAAUUAUAUGAUGAUCCUUGUGAGCCAAGAGAAUGAAAAGGUCCAUGGCCAUACAUUCAGUACUUUGUCCUGGCUGUACAUUUUUUUUAUUGGCAUCUGGUGUCAAGAACAGCAUCCUGACUAAUUCUGAGGGUGCACAAUUCUCGACAGAGAGUUUUUUGUAAGUGUACUUCGGAUAAUUCAAGGAAAAAAUCAUGAAGUCUGAUGGUCUCUAGAAAUUGUUUGCAUCCAAGCAAAUUUGAAUCUUAGCCUUGGAGGAAUUAGGGAGCAUACUCCCAAGACCAAUGCCUUUACCACUUAAACCAAUUGUUGGGAUGUUUGUUUUGUAAGAAGCCUUAGUACACCAUAAGACACGUUAGCUCUUAGAUGCAAGCUUAUUAGGAUCAUAAAGUUCCAAACCCUUUCCUAUAUGCUCUUCAGCUCGUGAAGAGGUUAGCAUCUGAAAAGAAUCUAUUAAUUAUUAUUUAUUCAUGUAAUCAUAAGUGUAAAAUUUAACAAUUUUAAGAACAUAAUGUCAACUUGUAGUAGGCGUGGUGACGAUUGGAGAAGCUAGCUGCAUGCACAGUGUGGGCGGUGGACGGUUCUCGGACAAAAAUUGACAUGUCAGUGUAGAUAACUACAAAAGAACUGCUGUUAAAAAAAAGCAAUCUAGUAUGGCAAUAAUGAGGUUUAGGUAAUGGCAGUUUGUCUCGCCAUUUGCAUCAGCUGAUGUGAUUUUAAAUAUUCAGCCAAUUAACACAUCAAGGUUGCUCAGACAUUGUUAUCGAUUGCAGUCCGAGGGAAGAAUACAAAGCAAAAGAUGCCAUUUCUUUCGAAUGGGUUCAUAGACUGCUGAACGAUGUGAUUUCAUUUUUGGUUGUUUUUCUAUUAUUCAUUUUGGUUUUUAUGCGAA